GCCUCCUUCCACAAGUCAGUGCCUUGAGUAUACUGCAAUCAGUUGAACAUUUUCUUAGCACCGGUGGAGCUUCUUGUAAAUUGAACGCUUCUUCAUUCACAGUAGAUAUUACUGCAUCUGAGGAUCAUUGUCGGGCAAUUCUCAAGAAUGGGGCAUGUGAAAUGGACAAAGGCGGCAGUUGUGUAACUGUGGAAAAAUCAGAGCCUCAACCCU
rnacentral:misc_RNA from 1 species